rnacentral:rRNA from 1 species
AUUGAACGCUGGCGGCAGGCCUAACACAUGCAAGUCGAACGAGAGGCGGACGGGAGGCUAAUGCAUCGGCAUCGAGCUGAGGGAGGGGGAUCACUACGGGAAACUGUAGCUACUACCGCGUUGCAGAGGAUGAGACCAAGUGGGAUUAGGGAGUGGGGGGGGUAAAGGCGCACCAAGCCGACGAUCCCUAGCUGGUCUGAGAGGAUGACCAGCAACACUGGAACUGAGACACGGCCCAGACUCCGACGGGAGGCAGCAGUGGGGAAUAUUGCACAAUGGGGGAAACCUGACACAGCCAUGCCGCGUGAAUGAAGAAGGCCUUCGGGUUGUAAAGUUCUUUCGGUAGGGAGGCGUUACCUACAGAAGAAGCACCGGCUAACUCCGUGCCAGCAGCCGCGGUAAUAC